rnacentral:rRNA from 1 species
ACGGGGGGAGCAAGCGUUGUUCGGAAUCGCUGGGCGUAAAGGGCGUGUAGGCGGUCAAGUAAGUGGAAUGUGAAACGCCUCGGCUUACCCGAGGACCUGCAUCCCAAACUGCUUGGCUUGAGUAUGGGAGAGGAUGAGGGAAUUCCUGGUGUAGCGGUGAAAUGCGUAGAUAUCAGGAGGAACACCGGUGGCGAAAGCGCUCAUCUGGCCCAAUACUGACGCUGAGGCGCGAAAGCUAGGGGAGCAAACGGGA